AUGCCCUAGUAACGGCGAGUGAAGCGGCAACAGCUCAAAUUUGAAAUCUGGCGUCUUCGGCGUCCGAGUUGUAAUUUGCAGAGGGCGCUUUGGCAUUGGCAGCGGUCCAAGUUCCUUGGAACAGGACGUCACAGAGGGUGAGAAUCCCGUACGUGGUCGCUAGCCUUUACCGUGUAAAGCCCCUUCGACGAGUCGAGUUGUUUGGGAAUGCAGCUCUAAAUGGGAGGUAAAUUUCUUCUAAAGCUAAAUACUGGCCAGAGACCGAUAGCGCACAAGUAGAGUGAUCGAAAGAUGAAAAGCACUUUGGAAAGAGAGUUAAAAAGCACGUGAAAUUGUUGAAAGGGAAGCGCUUGCAGCCAGACUUGCCUGUAGUUGCUCAUCCGGGUUUCUACCCGGUGCACUCUUCUAUAGGCAGGCCAGCAUCAGUUUGGGCGGUUGGAUAAAGGUCUCUGUCAUGUACCUCUCUUCGGGGAGAACUUAUAGGGGAGACGACAUGCAACCAGCCUGGACUGAGGUCCGCGCAUCUGCUAGGAUGCUGGCGUAAUGGCUGUAAGCGGCCCGUCUUGAAACACGGACCAAGGAGUCUAACAUCUAUGCGAGUGUUUGGGUGUCAAGCCCGAGCGCGUAAUGAAAGUGAACGGAGGUGGGAACCUUUCGGGGUGCACCAUCGACCGAUCCUGAUGUCUUCGGAUGGAUUUGAGUAAGAGCAUAGCUGUUGGGACCCGAAAGAUGGUGAACUAUGCUUGAAUAGGGUGAAGCCAGAGGAAACUCUGGUGGAGGCUCGCAGCGGUUCUGACGUGCAAAUC
rnacentral:rRNA from 2 species